GGAGGAGAAGAAACUAACCAGGAUUUCCCUAGUAAUGGCGAACGAACCGGAAAUAGCCCAGCUUGAAAAUUUCGGCGCUGCGCGGCGAAAGUUGUAGUCUGGAGACGCAUCCUCUGCAACGCACCGGACCCAAGUUCCCUGGAAAGGGACGUCAGAGAGGGUGACAACCCCGUCGAGUCUGGACCGUGUUGCUCCACGAGGUGUGGUCGUCGAGUCGGGCUGUUUGGGAAUGCAGCCCUAAGCGGGAGGUAAAUUCCUUCCAAGGCUAAAUAUUGGCAAGAGACCGAUAGCGAACAAGUACCGCGAGGGAAAGAUGAAAAGGACUUUGAAAAGAGAGUUAAAAAGUGCUUGAAAUUGCUGGGAGGGAAGCGAAUGGAAGCUGCGGGUGUGCCCCGGUUGGAUGUGGAACGGUUCCGGCUGGUCCGCCGCUCAACGCGGGGCACUGGUCAGCGUGGGCCGUCGCGGCGGGACAAGAGCAGGGUGUAGCUCCCUGCCUAUGCCGUUGCGGCGGCCGAGGAACGAAGCGCGCGGGGUUGGGUCUUCCCUUCCCCGUGGGACUCCCGUCCCAACUGCGCGCUCGGGACGCUGGCGUAUUGAGCUCUUCAUCCGACCCGUCUUGAAACACGGACCAAGGAGUCUAACAUGUAUGCGAGCCGGUGGGCGGCAAACCCAUUGAGGCGCAAGGAAACUGACAGGUGGGACCCCCCUAAACAGGGGAGCACCAUCGACCGACCGUGAUCUUCUGUGAAAGGUUCGAGUGUGAGCAUACCUGUUGGGACCCGAAAGAUGGUGAACUAUGCCUGAGCAGGGCGAAGCCAGAGGAAACUCUGGUGGAGGCUCGUAGCGAUACUGACGUGCAAAUCGUUCGUCAGACUUGGGUAUAGGGGCGAAAGACUAAUCGAACCAUCUAGUAGCUGGUUCCCUCCGAAGUUUCCCUCAGGAUAGCUGGAGCUCGUGUAAGAGUUUUAUCAGGUAAAGCGAAUGAUUAGAGGCAUCGGGGGUGUAACACCCUCGACCUAUUCUCAAACUUUAAAUAGGUAAGCCGCCGGGGUUGCUUGGUUGAACCCCGGCACAGAAUGAGAGCUCCAAGUGGGCCAU
rnacentral:rRNA from 1 species